ACAAAACAGAAGCAGGGGGAGAAUGAAGAUUAGUGGACAGGACAACAGAGAGUUCUGGGUGAAAGGGGAAAGCCUGCCCGUGUCUUUAUUCUGCAAUUAAUCAAAUUAAAAGCAGGACCCAAGUGUGAGCUGACAGAUUCCUGCAGGUCCCCCUGCACAGCCCACUUUGGUCCCUUGAAAGACAAUGCAGGAGGAGCUGCCAAAAGCACUGGGGGCAGAUGACAAAUCCCUGCUCACUCCCAGUGUGCUCCCCUAAAAGUGAUUUAUUAUUCCCAGUAUUGUUUGGGCUCAGCUAACAAUUCGUGCAGUUCACAAUUAGCAGCCCCUGCCUGUUCCUCGCAAAGAAAACAAUCAGGUCACUGGUUAACAAUGUGGGUUUUUUUUUUUCCCUAAACUGCUUUUUCUGGGUUAUCUCCUCUCUUUGGUGUCCCUGAAGUUGCAGUGUUUUUUUCAGGGGAAUUCUCAAGUUGUGUUUUUGUCAAAGGAGGGCAGCAAUGCUCAGCUCAGAGAUCCUGCCCAGAAAUCAGUGCACAUUUCCUGAGCCGGGCCAGCCCCAGCUCGGGCUCUUUUGUGGUAAGAAAUGGGCCAAGGGACAAUUCCAACAGCCACAAGCACCGCACUGAAAUGGGACCUGGAUCCAUGGAUUUUAUCUCAAAAUGCCUCAGAAUUCUGAAUUUGAAUUGCCUCAGCCUAAAGAGCUUCAUGCCCAAGCUGCUCUGUCCCACUGAAAAUUCAGGAAGCAAACAGCGCUGGGAAGCGAGGAGGAGCCGGGAGCAUUUCCUGGGAGCAGCAGCAGCUCCGGACCCAAUGAAUGACUCGGGAGAAGCCGCACAUUUAUCAGCGGCAGUUCCUGUAAGAACUGGUUUGAGCCGAUUAAUGAGGAAAUGACUGGGGCUUGUGUCAUCCCUCGGUUAAAACAGAAACCCUGAGCCCAAGCCUCGCCCCCCGGCCCGGCCAAGUCCUUUUUAGGACAAGCCGUGCGUCAUCCCUGCCCAAAACCUGCGGGCCGAGGGAGCGCCUCCCCCGAGCGGGACUAACAAAGGAACAAAGAGCGGCUGCGGCUCGCACUGAGCCCGGCCUAAAGCGGCCAAUGUCCCGGGAUGGGAUGGGAGAGAGCCAGGCUAACAAAGCUCAGCCUAAAGCGGGCAAUGUCCCGGGAUGGGAUGGGAGAGAGCCAGGCUAACAAAGCCCGGCCUAAAGCUGGGAAUGUCCCGGGAUGGGAUGGGAGAGAGCCAGCCUAACAAAGCCCGGCCUAAAGCGGCCAAUGUCCCGGGAUGGGAACGGGAUCAAUCCGGGCUCACAAAGUUCAGCCUAAAGCGGGGAAUGUCCCGGGAUGGGAUGGGAGAGAGCCAGGCUAACAAAGCUCAGCCUAAAGCUGGGAAUCUCCCGGGAUGGGAAUGGGAACGGGCCAGGAUCACACAAAUCCCAGCCUAAAGCCGGCAAUGUCCCGGGAUGGGAUGGGAUCAAUCCGGGCUCACAAAGCCCAGCCUAAAGCUGGGAAUGUCCCGAGAUGGGAACGGGAUCGGGCCAGGAUCACACAAAUCCCAGCCUAAAGCCAGGAUGUCCCGGGAUGGGAUGGGAUCAAUCCGGGCUCACAAAGCCCGGGCUAAAGCUGGGAAUGUCCCGGGAUGGGAAUGGGAACGGGCCAGGAUCACACAAAGCCCAGCCUAAAACCAGCAGUGUCCCGGGAUGGAAUGGGAUCAAUCCAGGCUCACAAAUCCUAGCCUAAAGCUGGGAAUGUCCCGGGAUGGGAUGGAUCAAUCCAGGCUCACAAAGCCCGGCCCAAAGCCGGGAAUGUCCCAGGAUAAGAAUGGCAGCACCCCCAGCAGCUUCUCUUUCAGUCCUGCUCACCCCGAACCCUUCAGAACGGGCACGACCCUUCCAAACCUGCCCAAAUUCUGAUAUCAAUUCCAAACCUGCCCGAAUUCUGAUACCAAUUCCAAACCUGCCCAAAUUCUGAUACCAAUUUCAAAACCUGCCCAAAUUCCGGUAUCAAUUCCAAAUGAUCCCCACAGCCUGAGCUGUGAACAUUCCCAAAGUCCCUCCUAACUCCAGCUCUCACCACUGACCACUCGAAUUGCAAAGGGGAGAGUCUGAGUUUUGUUUAAUUUUAAAGAGAUCACUGUGUUCUUCCACAUUAUACAACUCCCAAAAUUCAGAUAUAAAUUAAAAAUGACCAGCAGCAACCCUACAGCCUGAGCUGUGAAAUUCCCAAAGCCCAGCCUAACUCCAGCUCUCAUCACUGACCACUCAAAUUGCAAAGGGGAGAGUCCGAGUUUUGUUCAAUUUUAAACAAAUCUACAUUAUACAUUAUCAUACACGUGGUUUUCUACAUUUAAAAACCUCACCUAAAUUUUGACUAGUUGGUUUUAUUAAACCCACUCCUGCUGCCACUGCAGGGAGGGUUUAGGAAAAGCCUCCAGACCCAAGUUACUCCAGGUGUACAACCAGGAGUUGUUCAAGGUCCCAGUGCCUCAAACCAUUCCCCUCUGAUCUGACACCAUAUUCCCCUUUCCAGGCCGAAGCCCAAUUAAAAACUAACAGCUUUCUAAUUUUAGGAAUUUAUGAAAAGCACCAAACAAAGUGUCUCAUUGUGCUCCAGUAAAAUCUAUUUAUUUCCUCCAUGGCCAGGGGCAAAGGAGGAUUUUUGAACCCAUUUCCCAGCAGAAGGUCGUUCACUGUGAUUCACCACCCGGUGAGGAAAUUCUGUGCCUGGACUGGUAAAAAUUCUGGGAAUAAAAAAAAAAAACAAUCCAACAAACCUUGUGGACCCAAAGCACGUCCCUUUCCCAUUUAUUUGACACAAAAUUGGAAUAUUCCAGAGCAUCCCCAGAUUGCAGAGGUGUCCCAGCCCUGGAAAAAGCUCUGCAGGGACUGGAACACCAGGCACCUUCUGAGCUUUCUGUUCUUUCUCAAAUAAUUCUUGGGAGCCCUGGAGAGUGACUGCAAGGUAAUGGUUUACUUUUGAACUUGUGCAUGAUUAUGAAAUGAGGAAUAUUUAAAUGAUGAGGGAUCAAUGAUUAACAGGGGGUGUUGGAAUGACUCCGAUCCUCGCCGGGAGCUGAACUCGGGCAGUGCCCAAAUCGAAUUAAACACAGAGCAAAGACAUAAAAAACCCAAGUUCAGAGGCUUGAGGUGCAUCAAAACAAUAUUUCAAAAUUUUUCUCACUAAAUAAUUCACUUUUUAUUUCCUUUUCUGGGCACGACUGUUAGUUAAGUGCACAAAAUUAAUUUUAUCAAAGCAGUUUUGAAGAACUGCAGGAUCCUGAAUGCAAGGACCUCAGCUCCUAUUUUCUGUACAUUUGUAAAGAAUUUAAUUCUGGAAAAAAUGUGCAGAUUUAAAUAAGGAGUAAAAAAAAAUAAGCAGAGGAAAAUCUAGAAAAUCAGAAAUCCACAUGAAAUUCUUGAAAUCCCAUCUCGGCAGCACAAUAUUAAUUACUGGUGCUUUUUUGAACAAAAUUAAAUUAUUUAAUCACCCAGUUAUGUGCCACCUGAUAUCUGAAAUGUAAAAAUCUUCAAAAGAAUUUAAUUUAAUUAUAAAUAAAGAGUUGUGUAUCCCUGCAAACCUCGGAGAUCCCUCGGUGCUGAUCCCGGGGGGGAGGGAGGAAUUCAGGAUGAAUUUUGUGGGAGCCAAAUUUGCAUCACAAUUCCUGCACUCAGCACCUCCAAAAAAGCACAAAUUUCACAGGAGGAGGAAGAUGCUGGGAGAUAACCCCGGGAUAAUCCAACCAAAUUCCCUGUUCCAAACCCAUUGUCUUUCAAACCCCGAAUGUGGAAGGAGAAAUUCUGAUUCACAAGUUGUUUUCCAAACUCUUCAUGUUAAAUAUUAAAUUUUCGUUUGGAUUCUCUGCUAAAUUUUAAUGUUUCACAAGGAAUUCAAACUGAGAUCAAGCUUCCCAAAAUUGCAGUAGGCUUUGGUAAUCCUAAAUUCACCAAAAUUGUAACAUUUCAGUCAAAACCAUGAUUUCCAUUAAAUACUACGACAGAAAUUCCCAUUAAAAAUUCGGAUUCACUGAAAAAACCACUCUUGGUUUUCAGAACAAUUACCUGGUAUUUGUAAUUAAACAGAUUCACAUUUUUUUUUAAACUUAGAGAUAAAAUUUCUAUCCAAAAGACAAAUUCUAAAGCUCAUUUUCCCAAAAAAUAAAACAAAAAUCCCCAUCUGUUUGCAGCACCACACGACAGCAAAGUUGCUCGAGGAUUAUUUUAAAAAUUACACCAAGAACCUGCAGAGUCUGAGUCCUCCAAAAA